CACGUAGGCGGAUAUUUAAGUCAGGGGUGAAAUCCCAGAGCUCAACUCUGGAACUGCCUUUGAUACUGGGUAUCUUGAGUAUGGAAGAGGUAAGUGGAAUUCCGAGUGUAGAGGUGAAAUUCGUAGAUAUUCGGAGGAACACCAGUGGCGAAGGCGGCUUACUGGUCCAUUACUGACGCUGAGGUGCGAAGCGUGGGGAGCAAACA
rnacentral:rRNA from 1 species